rnacentral:rRNA from 1 species
CUCAAUAAGAGGUCCAGCCUGCCAGUGACCCUGUUCAACGGCCGCGGUAUCCUAACCGUGCGAAGGUAGCGUAAUCACUUGUUCUUUAAAUGAGGACUAGUAUGAAUGGCAUCACGAAGGUUAUACUGUCUCCUCUCUCUAAUCAGUGAAACUAAUCUCCCCGUGAAGAAGCGGGGAUAAUCUUAUAAGACGAGAAGACCCUAUGGAGCUUUAAACUAAGAAGCAAUUGCCCUCAUACCUUUGAAAUUCCAGAAAACUAAUGAGUACAAGGCACUGUGACUUCCAGUUUUAGGUUGGGGUGACCACGGAGUAAAAACUAACCUCCGUACUGAAUAGGGGCCUUCCCUAAACUAAGGGCCACAACCCUAAGAAUCAAUACAUUGACAGCAAUUGACCCAAAAAAUUUGAUCAAUGAACCAAGUUACCCUAGGGAUAACAGCGCAAUCCACUUCAAGAGCUCCUAUCGACAAGUGGGUUUACGACCUCGAUGUUGGAUCAGGGUAUCCCAGUGGUGCAGCCGCUACUAACGGUUCGUUUGUUCAACGAUUAA